UGCUGUGCCAUCUGUAAGAAACACUUGUGCUUCAGUAAAUACUCGGUCAUCAUGGCUACUCCAACCUGAUUGCAAAGAAUAAAUCUGUGUGCCUUCGACAGAAAUAUCAAAUAGAGGUUCAUUGUCAGAGUUCGGAUCAGGAUCGUGAUGUGCAACCAAUGCAUAGAACACCCUUACAGAAUAGUGUCCCUUUGGCACUCUUUUAAUGUUGUAGCAAUUAUUGGGACCUUCAGAUAGGGGGAAAUAGCGGAGGGUGGAAAGUGGAGGAGCAACGUAACUUGUAAGCGAUGCAUUAGUA
rnacentral:lncRNA from 1 species